GUCUGGAUUGGUCUGACUGACUCUGUUAAGGAGGGGACCUGGAAAUGGGUGGACAGCACCACACUGACCACAAGGUACUGGAAUGACAAUCAGCCUGAUAGUAAAGAUCCUACUGGGGAGGAGGACUGUGUUGAGAUACAUACAGAUUGGACUCCACUUAAGGCAUGGAAUGACAUGUCAUGUGACAGGAAACUCAACUGGAUUUGUGAGAAAGUGUUUUAACAUCACCAUGACAACGUACUGUAACACAUACAGCAGUUUAUAGUGUACACAACUUUAUUCUUCAUUCUCUCUCUCUCUCUCUCUCUCUCUCUCUCUCACACACACACACACACACACACACACACACACACACACACACACACACACACACACACACACACACACACACACACACACACACACACACACACACACACACACACACACUCUCUCUUUCACACUUACACACAUUUUCAUACACACACGCACACACACAUACAUGCAGGUACACAUACGCAUUCAAAUGCACCUAUUGUUGUAUUAGUUUGUUGUAUCAUAUUAAUAAAAGUUCUACUUAUUU